rnacentral:rRNA from 1 species
AGAAUGAACGCUGGCGGCGUGCUUAACACAUGCAAGUCGAGCGAGGCCAGGGGGGCAACUCCCUGAGUCGAGCGGCGGACGGGUGAGUAACACGUGGGUAACCUACCCGGAAGUGGGGAAUACCUCGGGGAAACUCGAGCUAAUACCGCAUAACAUCUCGAGGACGAAAGUUCUUGUGAUCAAAGCGGGGCCGCAAGGCCUCGUGCUACCGGAUGGGCCCGCGCCCGAUUAGCUAGUUGGCGAGGUAAUGGCUCACCAAGGCGACGAU